AAACUAUGUAUAAUGACGAAUAUCAGACACUCGAUAUUGUUAAAGGUUACUCAUUCUAAAUGUGGUAAAUUCGAAUCGGUGGCUAAUCCGACAUAGCAUUGCGAAGGUCAAAUAAACUGGAAGGAGGUUGAAGAGUACCAUCAUGGGUAGGAAAUUUGGUCUUAUUACCAACACUAAAGGCUCGGGAAUUGUUACAUAUGCACUGUCUCCUCAUGAGCAAAAGGCAUAUGCCAACGUUUGGACUAAAGUCGUACCCAAUUCUUUAAGGAGGUUAAGAGGAAAGUGGCCAGUCUUUAUAAUUCCCUUUGCUGUCUACUACUGGGCACAAGCAGCCCAAGCAAAGAGGGCAUACUUUGAGACGAAGGAAUAUUUGGCAGAGCAUCCUGAAUAAGAUUUUAUUUGAUAUGAAAGACAUUUUUGCAUUUUCUGAUACAAGUGAAAAAAUAGAGCUGUUCUGUUUGAUAAAAUGUAUGUAACAAUCUGA